AGAAGGGUUUGAAGGUUUUAAAGUCCAUAAAUGGUGGCGGUGUUUCUUUGAAAGCAAAGAGAACAUAAGGGAAGAAAGAAGUUCUAGUUCUUCCCUUCCUUGUCUACCACCCACAAGAACAUAUGCUUGAGCAUCUGCUUGAAACUCUUAACCCAUCUAUCAGUCUGUGGGGGGUAGUUUUACAUCCUAAAGUGUUUUAACUGCAACAAACUGCACAGAUCAGAUAUUAGUCAAGAGACAAAGGUCACACCUUGGUCAGUGAGAAGGUCCUUUUUGAAUUCUUACCUGGCUAAAGAGGAUCACAAGUUUCCUGGUAAUAUUCCAGGAGAAGUGUUCUCAAAGGAAAAUAGGAUUUGUAUUACCUAGGUGACCACAAGAUGAAUGCUAGUGGGCCAGGUACACCAGCAAUGUGUUUAUCAGAGGAGCAUGAGGAAAUUACAGACAGGCCCCAUCAUUGCCAUAUGCAGGAAGUGGGGGGAAACAACCUAUAUCUGUAGCACUUGCCUCAAGCAAUGCUUUAGCUGUGUUUUUUUCAUAACUGAGUUUGCCCUUACUAGUCGCCUUGGUUAAUACAAGGUUGCCCUUUUUGGUCUUCUCUGGCUCCUAAUUCUGAUUGGGAUUUGUUGCAGUAGAUAGUUUGGGCACUAGGCUUACCAGGAAUAGCCACUUAUGAGAGUGAAUCCCCACCAAACCUCAGCAGCAGGAACCUCCCUGAUGUCCACAUGCAUGCAGGAGUCUAAAAGGCCCACAUCCUGGCAGCAUGGAGCUGGGUAACUGAGCAAUGUCCUCCAUUUUGACAACUUUGGAAGGAGUGUGCCUCUUAGGAUGAAGGUGGUGGAAGGGGUGAAGUCGUGGGCCUAGUCCCUCUCAGGCCAGCACUCAGCCAUGGGGAGGAAGACAGCCUCAACCUGUGUUCAGUGGUAAUCUUCUUGCUGCUGGACAGUGGCAGUUUUGAGUCUGCAAAGAGAAAAGGAUUCUGCACUUGAGGAUUGCUUUAGGGAACUCCUGAAGAGGCGUACUGCAGGCGCCUUGGAGGCUGUUAACCUCACCUUGGCAAUGAGCGUGAGAGGAUGCGGGAGUUCACCGUGAGCCGCCUCAAUGCUGGAAUCAGAGUGAUUGGACACGUGGAAAUUGAGAGAACUUAUUAUUAUUUGUGUUAGAGAACACUGCUAUUAUAGUUGAAUAGUAAAAUUAUAUUGUUGGA